UACGUAGGGGGCUAGCGUUGUCCGGAAUCAUUGGGCGUAAAGAGCGUGUAGGCGGUCCGGUGAGUCCGCUGUGAAAGUCGGGGGCUCAACCCUCGAAUGCCGGUGGAUACUGUCGGGCUAGAGUGCGGAAGAGGCGAGUGGAAUUCCUGGUGUAGCGGUGAAAUGCGCAGAUAUCAGGAGGAACACCUAUUGCGAAGGCAGCUCGCUGGGACGUAACUGACGCUGAGGUGCGAAAGCGUGGGGAGCAAACAGG
rnacentral:rRNA from 1 species